rnacentral:lncRNA from 1 species
UUUCAGAUGAAAUACGAAUUACUUGUUUAAGGAUCUCCUGAUAAAAAACAACUUUGCUCUAAACUCGCCAUCAGGAUCAACAAAGGCAUGUGUAGCAAUGGCUUUCCCUGAUGAGCAUGGUCUUGGGUACUUCUAGAAGCCCAGAGUUCCUGUCCUUCACAUCAUUGGCUCUUUUCAACAUAUUAUCAGAUGUUCCUGGGAGAGUGGCCCCUGCAGACACCAGGAUUGAAGGAGUGUGAUCCCAAGUGCUGAGAUCGUCUUUGUGAGAGCUGUUUAUCUUUAGGACUGGAUUAAUCUUGUAUAGAUCUGGGUGGCCUUGGACCUACAGAGAUCCAUCUCCCUCUUAAUCCUGAGUCCUAGGAUUAAAGGUAU